rnacentral:piRNA from 1 species
UCCAUUUUUAAUUGGGUUAUUUGGAUUGUU